AAAAAAAAAUAAGAGAGCUCCGAAGCACGUGUCUCGCACGACGUUCUGCGGUGCCAUCCAUAGACUCGAUCUUGUCGUGAAAUGUGAUGGAAUCUGGCAACGCUAUAGGCUCGAAACCAAUUGAAGUCGAGUGAAUUUUGCUGCCGAACGCCGACAAAGAGAUAGCGGCACCAUCGACGAGGUCUAUCAUGGGCCGGAAUCUUCGAGCCGGAGCAACCAACGAAUGGG
rnacentral:lncRNA from 1 species